CCUACGGGUGGCAGCAGUGAGGAAUAUUGGUCAAUGGGCGCGAGCCUGAACCAGCCAAGUCGCGUGAGGGAAGACGGUCCUAGGGAUUGUAAACCUCUUUUGUCGGGGAGCAAAAGACGCCACGCGUGGCGUUCCGAGAGUACCCGACGAAAAAGCAUCGGCUAGCUCCGUGCCAGCAGCCGCGGUAAUACGGAGGAUGCGAGCGUUAUCCGGAUUUAUUGGGUUUAAAGGGUGCGUAGGCUGAAGAUUAAGUCAGCGGUAAAAUUGAGAGGCUCAACCUCUUCUAGCCGUGGAAACUGGGUUUCUUGAGUGAGUGAGAAGUAUGCGGAAUGCGUGGUGGAGCGGUGAAAUGCGUAGAUAUCACGAAGAACUCCGAUUGCGAAGGCAGCUUACCGGCGCUCAACUGACGCUGAUGCACGAAAGUGUGGGUAGCGAACAGGAUUAGAUACCCUGGUAGUC
rnacentral:rRNA from 1 species